UCCGGUUUGGCACCGGCAGUCUCCCUAGAGUUCCCGGCUUUACCCGCUGGCAACUAAGGACAAGGGUUGCGCUCGUUGCGCCACUUAAGGCAACACCUCACGACACGAGCUGACGACAGCCAUGCACCACCUGUGCACCGGCCCCGAAGGGCUGCCGUAUUUCUACGGCUUUCCGGUAUAUGUCAAACCCAGGUAAGGUUCUUCGCGUUGCAUCGAAUUAAACCACAUGCUCCGCUGCUUGUGCGGGUCCCCGUCAAUUCCUUUGAGUUUUAGCCUUGCGGCCGUACUCCCCAGGCGGGGCACUUAAUGCGUUAGCGUCGGCACGGGAGGAGUCGACACCUCCCACACCUAGUGCCCAUCGUUUACGGCAUGGACUAC
rnacentral:misc_RNA from 1 species